rnacentral:rRNA from 1 species
UACGGAGGAGGCAAGCGUUAUCCGGAAUUAUUGGGCGUAAAGCGACCGUAGGUGGUUGGCCAAGUCUGCUGUCAAAGGGUGGGGCUUAACCUCAUAGAGGCAGUGGAAACUGGCGAGCUAGAGUGCGGUAGGGGUAGGGGGAAUUCCCAGUGUAGCGGUGAAAUGCGUAGAGAUUGGGAAGAACAUCGGUGGCGAAAGCGCCCUGCUGGGCCUGCACUGACACGGAGGGACGAAAGCUAGGGGAGCGAAAGGG